ACCUCUUGAGUCUGAUUAUGUACAUUUGCCUUCCAAGCAGAAAGAUUAAGAAAAACUUAAAGGAGGUA
rnacentral:tRNA from 1 species